rnacentral:rRNA from 1 species
UACAGAGGGUGCAAGCGUUGUUCGGAAUUAUUGGGCGUAAAGCGCGUGUAGGCGGCUUUGCAAGUCGGGUGUGAAAGCCCUCAGCUCAACUGAGGAAGUGCGCCCGAAACUGCAGAGCUUGAGUGCCGGAGAGGGUGGCGGAAUUCCCCAAGUAGAGGUGAAAUUCGUAGAUAUGGGGAGGAACACCGGUGGCGAAGGCGGCUCUCUGGACCGAGACUGACGCUGAGGCGCGAAAGCGUGGGGAGCGAACAGG